GGUAAUGUUAGACCAAACCGGGGUGAGGGUCAUGUAACAAAUGAGCAUCUGGUUAUGUAAGACUAAACCGGUGUGAGGGUCAUGUAAAAAAUGAGCAUGAGGUCACAAAAGACCAAACCAGGGUGAGGGUCAUGUAAAAAAUAAGCAUCUGAAGAACAUCCCGAUACCUUCUUGGAAGUCCGAUUUCAGCUGAUAUGUUUCUGCAUAUUAGUAGUUUGGCUGCCAUCAAGCGUCCCUGGAGACAGAGCAGAAGUCCUAAGGGGCCAUGGACAGCCCGGCCAUGCCCAGGGGACAACCAGGAAGCC